rnacentral:rRNA from 1 species
CAGCAGCCACGGGAAUACGUAGGGUGCAAGCGUUAAUCGGAAUUACUGGGCGUAAAGCGUGCGCAGGCGGUUUGUUAAGACAGAUGUGAAAUCCCCGGGCUUAACCUGGGAACUGCAUUUGUGACUGGCGGGCUAGAGUAUGGCAGAGGGGGGUAGAAUUCCACGUGUAGCAGUGAAGUGCGUAGAGAUGUGGAGGAAUACCGAUGGCGAAGGCAGCCCCCUGGGCCAAUACUGACGCUCAUGCACGAAAGCGUGGGGAGCAAACAGGAUUAGAUACCCCAGUAGUCCCUGUCUCUUAUAC